rnacentral:lncRNA from 1 species
AAUGUUGCAUAUAUAGGUCAGUAAGUUGAGCCCCAAAUAAUAUAUGUCAGUAUUAAUUAUGACACCCACAAGCGAAACACUAAUCAGAUUACGGAAACCUUUAUAUUCCGGGGGUGGUGUGGGCAUACCGUGACUAGACUCUGAUGACUCAACUCUGAACAUGAAAACAAAUAAGAUGGUAUUUUGUAGGCACUGGAUGUACGAUUAUGAAGUUCCAGUUCCCUAACUCCAGUGUUUGAUAUGUUUUUAACCCAAAUAUCUAUAUCUGAAUAGAGAUGUAGAGGCAGAUCAUUAGGAAUGCAAAGAAUAAACUCUAAUAUGAGACCAUUACGAGAUAAAAUAAUACUGCUGACGGUUCUUGAAAAUUCAUAUAGUUUAGUUUCUCUACUUCUGAAAGAAAACCUCUGAGAAAGCCGGUUGAAGAAAAGGUCAUCAAAAACUAGGUGUGUGCGCAUUUCCCAUUUACCCCUCCAUCUUUUGAGAGUAUGCUCAUUCUUGUUACACAGUCAACUGGUAAUCGCUUUUGAAUAAGGUCUAGUAAGUCGCUAGGCAUGUCACUGAUAAUAUCAACCGCGUCUUAACAAUCAAGCCGUCUUGUGUUAGCAAUACUAGUCAUAUUUCUGAAUAUUAGAAGAAGUAAGAACCAAACUGAAAAGAUGUACAAACAAUAAUACUAUAAUAUAAAUAUAAUUAAGUAUAUUUGUAGUGGCCAACCGGGUAGUAGCAAUUAAUCAAAUUUAUCGUAGCACAGAAUUUAAAGAACAUUAUAUCCAUAAGAGCCAUAUAUGUAAAUAAUUCAACUAAACCAUUAUCACAUUUGGAAAAAAGUGGCAAAUCAUUUUCGUAUAUAUUAGCGAAAGUUUAACAGUUAAUUAAAACCCCUAAAUCAAAGAUAGAAAAAGAUUAUGUGAGAUCAACAUACAUAAAAACAUUGAUUUAUUCAAAAAGUUGAUUCACACACACACACACAAACAUAUAUUUAAACAUUUAUAUAUUUGAUUCAUGUAUUGGUGGGAGUGAGACAUUAUGAGUGCGGUGGAAUGAGGAAAGAAAUGUGAGGAUUAGUGAUACAACCCUAAUUCUUAAUUAUGUAAUCUAUAUAACGAUGUCGUGUAAUAAGUUGACUGCAAGAUAUUUGCAUAUGCUAAAAAACCGUAUCGUGUGGAACAGAACAUUCUAAAAUGGCUAAACACAACACCGUUUAAGGAUAAUAUUUACAAAUCAAUUCUUUUUUUUUAUUUAUUUCCAUUUUAGGGGCAGUAUGCUGAUACUUGUGUACAGGGAAACAACUAUCAACAUAUGUAGACAUUCCCCUGCCUAAAUAACAACCCUCCUCCAAAAUGGAAAUAAAUAUAAAAAGAAAUGAUUUGUAGAUAUUAUCCUUAAACGAUGUCGUGUUUAGCCAUUCUAGAAUGUUCUUUUUCAUAUGAUGCCGUUUUCUAGCAUAUGCAAAUAUUUUGCAGUCAAAUUAUUACACGACGUCGUUAUAGAGAUUACAUAAUUAAGAAUUAGGGUUGUAUCGCUAAUUCUCACAUUCUUUCUCACUCCGCCGCGCUCAUGUUGUCUCACUCCCAGCAAAGGUAUCAAAUGUUUAUAUAUAUUUAUGUGUGUGUGUGUGUAUUUGAAUCAUUGUUUUUUUUGAAUAUAUCAAUGUCUUUAUGUAUGUUGAUAUCUCACAUAAUAUUUUUUUCCAUUUUUGCUUUAAGGGUUUUAAUUAAUUGUUGAACUUUCGCUAAUAUAUAUGAAAAUGGUUUUGGCACUUUUUUCCAUAUGUGAUAAUGGUUUAGUUGAAUUGUUUACAUACUCGGCUGUGAUGCAUAAAUGUUCAUUAAAUUCAGUACUAUGAUAAGUUUGAUUAAUUGUUACUACCCAGUUGGUCUUUAUAUAUUGUAGCAUUACUGUUUGUAAAAUUCUUUUCAGUUUGGUUCCUACUUCUUUUAAGUAUUCAGAGAUAUGCCCAGUGAUGCUAACACAAGGCGGCUUGAUUGUGGAGACGCAGUUGAUAUUAUCAGUGACCUGCCCAGUGACUUAUUAGACCUUAUUCUAAACCGAUUGCCGGUUGACUGUGUAGCAAGAAUGUGCAUUCUCUAAAAAUCAUGGAGGGGUAAACGGGAAAUGCACCCACACUUAUUUUUUGAUGACCUUCUCUCCAACUGGCUUUCUCGGAGGUUUCCUUCCAGAAGUAGAGAAACUAAACUAUAUAAAUUUUCAAGAACUUUUAUCAGUAUUCUUUUAUCUUGUAGUGGUCUCAUAUUGAAGUUUGUUCUUUGCAUUCCUAAUGAUUUGUUUCUUCAUCUCUAUUCAAAUAUAGAUAUUUGAAUUAAAAACGUAAGAAACAAUGGAGUUAGGGAAGUGCAACUUCAUAAUCGUACAUUGAGUGCCUACAAAAUACCAUCUUAUUUGUUUUCCGGUUCAGAGUUGACUUGUUUAAUUCUAAGUUACUGUAUGCUCACACCACCCCCUAAAAUUGGAGGCUUCCAUAAUUUGAUUAUUGUUUCACUUGUGGGUGUCAUAAUUACUAUUGCCAUAUCAUUUGGGGCUCAACUUAUGGACCUACAUUUACAACGUUCUCAGAUAUUAUUGCGGGAGAAGAUGAUCAUCACCUACCACCUUACAAUCCAAAACAUUAGAUUGCGCAUCGUUUAUCCUCUUUUUCUUCUUAACCAUCUAGUGUUUUAAGACCUAAACGCUAUUUCCUGUAGAUUUUUUCAGGUGGAUGCAUUCACAGAAUCAGCGUUCAAGGGAAACCCAGCUGCAGUUUGUUUGUUAGAAGAGGAAAAAGGUGAGAAAUGGCUACAAUUGGUGGCCACUGAGUUCAAUCUCUCUGAGACAUGUUUCUUGACUAGGAUUGACUUGGAUUCGCCUAAUCCCAGGUUUCAGCUCAGAUGAUUCACUCCUGUUGCUGAGGUUCACUUGCUCUUGAUUCUUGUCUGUGUUUUUUGGGGUUUUAUGAUUCCCCGGGUGUCAAAUUCUGGUCUUGGGUAUUGGGUUUGUGUAAAGAUUUGAUUUUUUUGGUGGUAGCGGUCUUGAAUUGAAUUUGUGUAUUGGGGUUGCUUAAAGAUUUGAUCUCUUUGGUGUUAGCAGUCUUGAAUUUAACAUGGGGCAAAAUAAAGUUGAUUUAGACAUUCAAGCGGACGUAAUAACAAAUAAGUAUGAUAUGCAUAUUAAAUCCCUUUGUUACUGAGGUUCAGUUACUAUUGAGUCUUGUCCAUCUUUUUGGUUUUUGUGAUUCCCCGGAUGUCUAAUUUUGAUCUCGUUAGUAGCUCAUUUAUCUGUGUAUUGGGUUGACGUAAAGAUUUGAUCUUUUUGGUGUUACUGGUCUUGAAUAUGAAUUCGGGCAAAAUAAAGUGUUUUAAAAAAGUUAGUUUGGAGUUUGGACACUCAAGCUGAAUAUUCCCGCAAAGAUGGCUUUUCGAGUAAAUUAAGUAUGAUAUACAUAUUAAACCGCUUUAGUAAUAAUUUAAAAUUCUAGUGGAUUUGGUAACUUAAUAGAUAUUAUGUACUUUCAAUAUGUUAUUGCUUUGCUUAUGGAAUAGGUAAAGCAUGAAUAACCACGUCUUUUCUUAAUUAUGCCAUAUCACUGCUACUUUGUCAGUUGUCAUUUUACUUGAAUGUUGAAUAAAACAUGCAUAAUUAGACUAUGUUUUAUUGGAUAGCCACAGGUGGUGGUUGCUUUAUCUUCCCAUCUGAAACGGGUCUAAGCAAUCAUAUGUGUGAUAGCUAAAACUGAUGAAGAUAGUGGCUUUCUCUAUAUUAAAUUUACCAAUUGCUGGAAAAGUCAUUCGUAGCCGGCUUUUUAUAGUUUACGAAGACUUGCUAGUUUUCAUCUCUAUGCAUGAUGUCUGCUUACAGGUUAAACUUUGUGGCCAUGCAACUUUGGCGGCAUCCCACUUCAUCUUCUCAUCUGGUUUGGUGAAAGUUAAUGUGAUCGAGUUCAUGACACUGUCUGGAGUUUUGACUGCUAGGAGGGUUUCACUGCCUGAAGUUUCUGUAUUAUCACAGUUGAAAAGUGAUGGUUUCUGUAUAGAGUUGGAUUUUCCUGUCGUGCCACUGGUUGAAUAUACUUCUGUUGAGGUGUCAAACAUUUCACAAAGUUUAAAUGGCGCCUCUAUUGUUGACAUCAAGAAAAGGACUACAGAAGAUGACCUCCUUGUAUGUGUUUGGCUUUGCUCUAACAUUUUGUUAAUAUCAUUACCAUGUGGAUACAUUCUUUCUGGAAGUUGUUUAUGAUGGGGCUAACAUAUCUAAACAGUGAAAUGUUAUAUACUAGUGCCAUUGUUUCUUGCUUUGGAAAAGUUAAUAUUUUGUAUUUGAGGAAUGUAAAAGUCAUCUAAAAAUGCAGGUUAUGCUCUCAUCUGGAAAGACUGUUGCAGAAUUACAGCCGAUGUUUGAAAAGAUACAGAAACUUCCUUGCAGAGGAAUGACAGUAACAGCGCUUGCUCCCUCUGAAUCUGGGUUUGACAUAUACAGCCGCUUCUUUUGUCUUAAAUAUGGGAUUAAGGAGGUAAACAUUAAGCUAAAUAUCAGGAUUCAUUUAUAAUUUUCGAAACAUUUGGAGUUUUCUCAUAGUCUUGCUACACUUGGUAUGUGGUAGUCUCUUCAUAACCUGUCUACCUUCCGGAUACAUUCUUGUCUUUCUUUUCCUAUGUGUAGAAUUCGGAUAUUCCAUUUGGCCUCCACCCGCCUUUCAUUAUAGUUCAUUUGCUAGAUUAUUUGUAUAAUGUUGAAUCCAAAACUAAAUUUAAAUUGUCUAUCCUUAGCCUCCUUGCUUCUUAUUGUCUGUGGAUAUACAGGCACGUGCUGUUUUAAGGGUGAAAUUUAGUUGAAUCCGGGUUUUCGAUAGAGGUGCUAGUUUUUAUGUCCUGUCUUCCCCUAUAGACUAUAGUUACAUGCACCAGGUCAAUAACUAAAGAAAGAGCUUAUCUAAAAGUUGAACAUCUGUCCUGAGUGCUGGGACUUGAUACAAUCGGUAACCUCUUUAAUGCGUGCAAUUUUAUUUCAGGAUCCUGUCACAGGCAUUGCACGUUGUGCCUUGGCACCCUUUGGUGCCAAAAGCUGGGAAAAAGUGAUCUUGUUGCAUAUCAGGUUAUUGUUCUUAGUGCUCACUGCUCACUCUCUGCCUAACUCUAUCAAAUGUGUAUGCACACACUGAUUUCAUAUUUGAUCCAUUUGGAGCUUGUUCAUUAAACUCACUAUUCAACUUUGUGAUGUAGUAUUUCGUGAAUUCAGGCAUCAACAAGAGGUGGCUUCAUAAGAUUUCAUCUAGAUGAGAGGAAUCAAAGGGUAAUGCUCCAAGGGAAAGCUGUUACUGUGAUGGAAGGUUCUCUCCUAGUUUAAAUAUGGAGGUAUUCCUAGAAUGCCUAAAAUGAACUGGGAGCUAUUCAUAAUUAAAACAUCAGAAUCUUGAGAUCAUUAUAUUGUGUCUGUAACAGUUUACUUAACAAGUUUUUAUAGCUAUUUCUUGAUGAACACUAUCUUCUUAAAUGUGUUGUUGAUAUGUGUUUCGUGCUAAUGAUUAUUGAUAAGUAGUACUUUUAUAGUUCUCUUAGAUAGAUUGCUUGCAAUUAUCUAGUUGAUUAAUUAUUGCAGUUGUGUUCACUCUUCAGAGUCACUGAAACUAAAUUGAGUUGGUAAUCUGUUUGUUGGCCUGACAAGUAACAUAAGUGAGUAUUUAUGAGUCAUUUUAUUCAACAUGUUCAAUAUAUCUAUUGCGAAGUAUUGUGCAAAGUAUGGAAAAUCGUAAAUAAUACUGGCAAAAUUGUGCCAAUAUUAUUCAGAUCACUUAACUUCACUUAUUACCGAAAGAAAGCCGUUGAUGAUUAUAUUCUUGCCAAGAUUCAUAUAUUUUUGCUGAUUGUAUACUAGUUUUUAGAAUAUGAAUUGAUAUUGAAUUGAUAUUAUAUUUAAUAAUUGGCAUUUCAUUUAAAAUGAUAGUAUAAUUUUGAUUUUGAAUUUGGAAGGUUAAUUUUGAAUAUUUAGAAAUUAUUUCAAGAAUUUAGUCCGAUAGUCCUAUGUAAUAUGUGUCAGUUCCUUUUUGUAUGUAUUAAGACUUAUGUCAAAUGUAAUUAUAAAAGAGUUUUUGUAUUAUUAUAUGUUGGUAGUUAAUUUUUGGGAUAUUUUUAAAAAUACCCAUCUGUAAAAUUAUUUUUUUAAAAAUACUACCAUCUUUUUCAUUGUUUUUAAAAAUACCUUUUCAUAAAUUUUUUUUUUCAAAAAUACGAUUUGCAACCUUUGCAACCUCAUUUGCAACCUUGGGCGGCGCAGCCGUAAAAGUUGCAAAUGAGGUUGCAAAAGUUGCAAAUAAAAAUGGAAAUGAGGUUGCAAAAGUUGCAAAUGAGGUUGCAAAAGUUGCAAAUAAAAAUGGAAAGUUGCAACAGUUGCAACUGCAAUUGCAACUAGUUCAACUGAAAACUGUAAGUUGCAAAAGUUGCAAAUGAGGUUGCAAAAGUUGCAACUGAGGUUGCAAAAGUUGCAACUGCAGUUGCAAAAGUUGCAACCUCAGUUGCAACUAAAUGCAACUGAAAACUGUAAGUAACAACAGAUGUAUGGUGUGCCCCUGGCGGGGCCGGUAGAUUACAAUAGAAUCAACUGAAUGCAACCAUAUGCAACUGAAUACAACCAUAUGCAACCAUAUAUGCAAUUACAAAUCCUGAUUUCAAGUUCCAGUUUUCGAAUGUCGUUUUCGACCUCAUUUUCGGAAUCGAUAUAUAUAUAUAUAUAUAUAUAUCUGUUCUGAUAUAAAGUCACUAUUCUCGUUAAAACUGCCUUUUGGUAGUUCUGAUAUAGUGACUCAAUAACUCAAUGAUUAAAGGCAGAAUUAAAUAGAUACUCUAGAAGCAAUGUAAAACACUUUUAUAUGAACGGUUUCAGAAAAAAGAUUAUUGAAAAUUUAGAUAUAAAACUGCUUUUACUACUCCCUUUGGUCACUAUGAAUGGAAUGUAGUUCCAUUUGGACUUAAAAAUGCCCCUAGUGAAUUCCAGAAUAUCAUGAAUAAUAUAUUUAACCCCUUUAGCCAUUUCUCAAUAGUAUAUGUAGAUGAUGUUCUUAUCUAUUCUAAUUCUAUUGAAGAACAUUGGAAACAUCUGAACUCUUUUUUCAAUACAAUUAAGACUAAUGGUCUAGUACUAUCACCAACUAAAUGUGUCUUAUUUCAGACAAAAGUAAGAUUUUUAGGUCAUACCAUUCAGUAUGGGAAAAUUAGACCAAUAGAUAGAUCAAUUGAAUUUGCUAGUAAAUUCCCAGAUGAAAUACUUGACAAAACCCAACUCCAAAGAUUUCUAGGAUCACUCAACUACAUAGGAGAAUUUUAUAAAGAUCUUAGGAAGCAAUGUAAACCAUUAUUCGAACGAUUGCAAAAUAAUCCCCCGCCUUGGACUUCUAUCCAUACUUCUAUUGUCCAAGAUAUUAAAAAAUAUGUUAAGACUCUUCCCUGUCUUGGCAUUGCUAAUCCUUCUGCAUUUAAAAUAGUAGAAACCGAUGCCUCUGAAGUUGGAUUUGGAGGUAUUCUUAAACAAAAAUUAAACCCUUCUUCACAUGAAGAAAUUGUUUGUUUUCAUUCAGGAGCUUGGGAUCAAACCCAACAAAAUUAUUCAACCAUUAAAAAAGAAAUUUUAAGCCUUGUCUUAUGCAUCAAUAAAUUCCAGCAUGAACUUUUAAAUCAAAAGUUUUUAGUCAGAAUUGAUUGCCAGUCAGCAAAAUUUAUUUUAGAAAAAGAUGUUCAAAAUAUUGCAUCAAAACAGAUUUUUGCCAGAUGGCAGGCUUUAUUAAGCAUAUUUGAUUUUGAUAUACAAUACAUUAAAGGAAGUGAAAAUUCUAUUCCAGAUUUUCUAACUAGAGAAUUUCUACAAACAGGAGUGAAAGAUGAGUGUGAGAGAUAACAAUAGCCAGGUUAUUAUAUAUAUAUAUAUAUAUAUAUCGAUUCCGAAAAUGAGGUCGAAAACGACAUUCGAAAACUGGAACUUGAAAUCAGGAAUUUGGUUGCAUAUGAAGUUGCAAAAGAGGUUGCAACACGGCUGGCGCCGCCUGGAGUUGCAGAUGAGGUUGCAAAAGUUGCAAACAGUAUUUUUGAAAAAAAGAUUUUAUGAAAAGGUAUUUUUAAAAAGAAUUCUGGAAGGUAGUAUUUUUGUAAAUAAUUAAAGAAAAGGUAGGUAGUUUUGUAGAUUUCCCUUAAUUUUUAUAGCUAACAAAUUUCAAAAAUAUAUAUUAUUUGCACAUACAUCUUCAGAACAUAUUACAUAAAUAAGCUGCUCCAGAGCUCUUCAUCCCAAACAUGACGAUGACUAGGAAAGAGAAAAAAAAAUUCCAGUUCACAUUUCGAACCUGCUGGACAAGUAAGUUUUCUUUUAAUUUUCAAACAUGGAUUAACUUCUUAUUCAUUCAUUUACUUUUGUGAUGUAAUUGGAUCAAAUUUUUUGUAUAUAAUCCCAUGUGAAGCAAACACAUGAAUUUAGCUCUAUACAUUUCAGGCCUGGUUCUCAUUUCUAUGUAUACAACUUGGAUAGUUUUAUGAUUAAUAUGCUCGAUAUGAUACCAUGAUUUGAUAUUGCGUUUGUUAAGUGUUUAAUAAAUGUUAUCCAAACUAAUUGCCUCUAGUUGGUCAUGAUGUAAUUCGAUAUUCAUAAGUUGUUUUUGAUAUCAAUAAUCAAAUUUGAGUCGAUAUGUGCAAGAGAUCGCUGUGAAUAUAUGCGUAACAGGUCACUGUGAAAUGUAAUAAGUGUGAGUGAAGUAUGUUUGAAUUUAUAACUCAAAUCCAAUGAUUUUAAUUGCUAAUUUAAGAAUGGAAUGGUACUGUUUAUGUCAAGUGUUCAUUUUCUUCGUAUAUGUGUACAACUUUAAUAACAUGUCUUAAUGCUAUGAAGUAUUAUACUAUUAUUCCACCAAGUCCAAGAGUAAUUCCUUUUCCUUAGAAUUUUCAAUAGCUUCCCGGGGGCGAAGAAGGCUUAUUAAUAUACAGAUUUUGUUAAGUAUCAGCUCAAUAGAAGUAGUCAGGUGUUAAGUAAAUUCCUUGUCAUCAUGUACAUACGGGGUUGUUCCAAAUUGUGCAACAUAGGACUAAACAGAACUUUUCCUUUGAGCUAAUUACCUUCAAGCGCAAGGUUCUCUUAUUUGCCAGAAGAAAAUAAUAAGAGUUCCUCGAUGAAAAAUUCCCAUGUCAUAAUCGAUUGCUCCACUCGUAAUGUUUGAAACCAAAUGUUCAAUCACUCUACAAUGUUGCAUAUAUAGGUUAAGCUGAGCCCAAAUGAUGUCAGUAUUAAUUAUGACACCCACAAGCGAAACACUAAUCAGAUUACAGGAAACCUUCCUAUUUCGGGGGUGGUGUAGGCAUACAGUGACUUAGAUCAGAUGAGUCAAUUUUGAACAUGAAAACAAAUAAGAUGGUAUUUUGUAGGCACUGGAUGUACGAUUAUGAAGUUUCACUUCCCUAACUCCACUGUUUGAUAUGUUUUUAAUCCAAAUAUCUAUAUCUGAAUAGAGAUGAAGUGGCAGAUCAUUAGGAUUGCAAAGAAUAAACUUCAAUAUGAGACCUCCAAGAGAUAAAAGAAUACUGCUGCCGGUUAUUGAAAAUUCAUAUAGUUUAGUUUCUCUACUUCUGAAAGGAAACCUCUGAGAAAACCGGUUGAAGAAAAGGUCAUCAAAAACUAGGUGUGAGUGUAUUUCCCAUUUACCCCUUCAUGUUUUUGAGAGAAUCCUCAUUCUUGCUACACAGUCAACCGGCAAUCACUUUUGAAUUAGGUCUAGUAAGUCACUGGGCAUGUCACUUUUGAAUUAGACCUUAUACCAAAGCGAUUGCCGGUUGACUGUGUAGCGAGAAUGUACAUUCUCUCAAAAACAUGGAGGGGUAAAUGGGAAAUGCACCCACACCUAGUUUUUGAUGACCUUUUUCUUCAACCGGCUUUCUCAGAGGUUUCCUUCCAGAAGUAGAGAAACCAAACUAUAUGAAUUUUGAAGAACCGUCAGCAGUAGUCUUUUAUCUCGUAGUGGUCUCAUAUUGAAGUUUUUUCUUUGCAUUCCUCAUGAUUUGUUUCUUCAUCUCUAUUUAGAUAUAGAUAUUUGGAUUAAAAACAUAACAAACAAUGGAGUUAAGGAAGUGCAACUUCAUAAUCGUACAUUGAGUGCCCACAAAAUACCAUCGUAUUUGUUUUCCUGUUCAGAGUUGACUCGUCUGAUUCUAAGUUGUAUGCUCACACCACCCCGGAAAUUGAAGACUUCCGUAAUCUGAUUACUGUUUUGAUUGUGGGUGUCAUAAUUACAACUGACAUAUCAUUUGGGGCUCAACUUACUGACCUACAUUUGCAAAGUUGCAUUGGGAUUGAACAUUUGAGAAUGGAAAGGCAUUUGUUUAUGUCAAGUGUUCAUUUUCUUCGUAUUUGUGUACAACUUUAAUAACAUGUCUUAAUGCUAUCAAGUAUUAUACUAUUAUUCCACCAAGUACAAGAGUAAUUCCUUUUCCUUAGAAUUUUCGAUGGCUUCCCGGGGGCGUAGAAGGCUUAUUAAUAUACAUAUUUUGUUAAGUAUCAGCUCAAUAGAAGUAGUCAGGUGUUAAGUAGAUUCCUUGUCAUCAUGUACAUACGGGGUUGUUCCAAAUUGUGCAACAUAGGACUCAAAAAAACUUUUUCUUUGAGCUAAUUACCUUCACGCGCAAGGUUCUCUUAUUUGCCAGAAGAAAAUGAUAAGAGUUCCUCGAUGAAAAAUUCCCAUGUCAUAAUCGAUUGCUCCACUCGUAAGGUUUGAAACCAAAUGUUCAAUCACACUACAAAGUUGCAUAUAUAGGUUAGUAAGUUGAGCCCAAAUGAUGUCAGUAUUAAUUAUGACACCCAUAUGCGAAACACUAAUCAGAUUAUAGGAAACCUUCAUAUUUCGGGGGUGGUGUAGGCAUACAGUGACUUAGAUCAGAUGAGUCAAUUUUGAACAUGAAAACAAAUAAGAUGGUAUUUUGUAGGCACUGGAUGUACGAUUAUGAAGUUUCACUUCCCUAACUCCACUGUUUGAUAUGUUUUUAAUCCAAAUAUCUAUAUCUGAAUAGAGAUGAAGUGGCAGAUCAUUAGGAUUGCAAAGAAUAAACUUCAAUAUGAGAC